rnacentral:rRNA from 1 species
GGAAUAUUGCGCAAUGGGCGACAGCCUGACGCAGCGACGCCGCGUGGAGGAUGAAGGCCUUCGGGUCGUAAACUCCUGUCGAGGGGGACGAAAUGGGGCUCCGCUAAUAUCGGAGUCCCUUGACGGUACCCCUGGGGGAAGCCCCGGCUAACUCCGUGCCAGCAGCCGCGGUAAUACGGAGGGGGCCAGCGUUGCUCGGAAUUACUGGGCGUAAAGGGCUCGUAGGCGGUUUGAUAAGUCCUGUGUGAAAUCCCUUGGCUCAACCAAGGAACUGCGCAGGAUACUGUUGAACUUGAGGCCGGGAGAGGGAAGCGGAAUUCCCAGUGUAGCGGUGAAAUGCGUAGAUAUCGGGAGGAACACCAGUGGCGAAGGCGGCUACCUGGACCAAUACUGACACUGAGGUGCGAAAGCGUGGGGAGCA